AUGACUCCUUUCAGCCACCCAGCGAGGCUCCUUGGCUACAGAGGACUUGGCCAGGCAGGGCCCACCCACUGGACCGCCAGGGAGCCACUGACUGGAGGUCAGAAGAGCUGGGCCAGCUGCUCCAGGGACCAGGCAAGUGGAAGGCCUGUGGAUACAGGUCCACGAGGGGGACCCGACGGGCCUGCCCUCCACUCCGGCCCUGGUGUGGACCAUGUCCGAGAGGGCCUCAGCCCACACAGAAGAGCUGGGGAAACCAAGGCUCAUCCGGGGACUCCAGGGGCAGCGACGGGGGGCUCUGGUGGCCAGAGCAGGGACGCAGGACAUAGACACGACAGGCCAGGUGUUUAUUGGUGAAAGAACAGUGCCAGUUGAGGGGUCCUCAGCGCCCAGCCGGCCAGCAGGCACACAGGGCCCGGCGCUCCGCCUGCAGCAGGAGAGUCUCCGUCUGAAAAGCAAAAAGGGGCCCUGAGGGAGCUGCAGAGCUGUCCCCCAGCUCCUGGCUUCCCCACCCCACCCCACCCCCAGCUCUUGGCUUCCCCACCUGCGCCCCCCAGGUGGUCCUCCCUCCACCUGCUCCCCCCAGCCCUGCAGACUGUGACUGCAGGGGACCCUGUGCUCCCUCCAGGCCUCUGCCCCAGGGCUUCCCAAGCCCUCUCUGCACGGCUAGAGCCUCUGGGUUUGUGCUUGCGCUGCAGUCCCCCCCACAUCCUUAGACCUGUUCCUCUUUCAAAUUAUACCCCCCCAAGGGAUCCCCCUGUUCUCUAACUCCUCCCCUAAUCUCAGGCUCCCAGAGAACACUACAGGUCUCAGAGUGGGCCCUCAGGAAUUGGCCAGAACAAGGGACCAGGGUGGGGCUGCCCUUCCUUCUAGGUCUGGGAAUGCUCUCCCUUUCUCAGGACCACAGACCUCCAUCCUAAGUGAAAACUCCCUUGGCUGCGCACAGCAAUAGGGUGGGGGACUCGCUGUUCACUCCAGACUGGGGACACCCGGCACUUCACGCACCCAGCACCUCGAGCACCCACCCCUCCCCUGAUGAGCCUCGGGGUGGGGAACCUCUCAGACAGCUGUGCGCAGGCUGCCCAAUACCCCUGCCGCCUUCCGACUCCUCUCGUUCCGCCUCGGUGUCCCCUCUGCCCACUGGGCCACAUCCCCCACCUGGGGGACGUUGGACGGGCUGGCUGUCCUUCUCUGGGUCUGGAUGGUGGUCACCAGGAAAGGGUCGGGUGAGGCCUUGGGGAGGAGGGGGCCCCUCCCUCACUGAGGCUGGAAACAAUAUGGGGGGGCAUUUGAGGUGAGCAUCCCUCCACUCCCUUGCGAGGCUCACCCGCGCGUCCAGGCUGUAGGCCGUCUUCCG
rnacentral:lncRNA from 1 species